GACGAACGCUGGCGGCGUGCCUAAUACAUGCAAGUCGAACGCUUCUUUCCUCCCGAGUGCUUGCACUCAAUUGGAAAGAGGAGUGGCGGACGGGUGAGUAACACGUGGGUAACCUACCCAUCAGAGGGGGAUAACACUUGGAAACAGGUGCUAAUACCGCAUAACAGUUUAUGCCGCAUGGCAUAAGAGUGAAAGGCGCUUUCGGGUGUCGCUGAUGGAUGGACCCGCGGUGCAUUAGCUAGUUGGUGAGGUAACGGCUCACCAAGGCCACGAUGCAUAGCCGACCUGAGACGGUGAUCGGCCACACUGGGACUGAGACACGGCCCAGACUCCUACGGGAGGCAGCAGUAGGGAAUCUUCGGCAAUGGACGAAAGUCUGACCGAGCAACGCCGCGUGAGUGAAGAAGGUUUUCGGAUCGUAAAACUCUGUUGUUAGAGAAGAACAAGGACGUUAGUAACUGAACGUCCCCUGACGGUAUCUAACCAGAAAGCCACGGCUAACUACGUG
rnacentral:rRNA from 1 species